AGGGAAGAGACGAUGAUGUGUUUCCAAGCACAUAUCUGACUUAUGUGCGGAUGACAAUCAAGCUGAGUCUUUUCCAC
ensembl:snoRNA Gm22888 small nucleolar RNA SNORD121A